rnacentral:rRNA from 1 species
CCUACGGGAGGCAGCAGUGAGGAAUAUUGGUCAAUGGACGAGAGUCUGAACCAGCCAAGUAGCGUGAAGGAUGACUGCCCUAUGGGUUGUAAACUGCUUUUAUAAGGGAAUAAAAUGUUCCACGUGUGGGAUUUUGUAUGUACCAUAUGAAUAAGGAUCGGCUAACUCCGUGCCAGCAGCCGCGGUAAUACGGAGGAUCCGAGCGUUAUCCGGCUUUAUUGGGGUUAACGGGAGCGUAGGUGGAUUGUUAAGUCCGUUGUGACAGUUUGCGGCUCAACCGUAAAAUUGCCGUUGAAAAUGGCAGUCUUUAGUACAGUAGAGGUUGGCGGAAUUCGUGGUGUAGCGG